UAAUACGUAGGGGGCAAGCGUUGUCCGGAUUUACUGGGCGUAAAGCGCGUGUAGGCGGCCGAGCAGGUCUGUUGUGAAAACUGAAGGCUCAACCUUCAGACGUCGACAGAAACCGCGCGGCUAGAGUCCGGAAGAGGAGAGUGGAAUUCCUGGUGUAGCGGUGAAAUGCGCAGAUAUCAGGAAGAACACCAAUGGCGAAGGCAGCUCUCUGGGACGGUACUGACGCUGAGACGCGAAAGCGUGGGGAGCGAACAGGAUUAGAUACCCUGGUAGUCCACGCCGUAAACGAUGGAAGCUAGCCGUUGGUAAGUUUACUUAUCGGUGGCGCAGCUAACGCAUUAAGCUUCCCGCCUGGGGAGUACGGUCGCAAGAUUA
rnacentral:rRNA from 1 species